rnacentral:rRNA from 1 species
UACAGAGGGGGCAAGCGUUGUUCGGAAUUACUGGGCGUAAAGGGCUCGUAGGUGGCCAACUAAGUCGGACGUGAAAUCCCUCGGCUUAACCGGGGAACUGCGUCCGAUACUGGUUGGCUUGAGUUUGGGAGAGGGAUGCGGAAUUCCAGGUGUAGCGGUGAAAUGCGUAGAUAUCAGGAGGAACACCGGUGGUGUAGACGGCUUUCUGGACAGUGACUGACGCUGAGACGCGAAAGCGUGGGGAGCAAACAGG